GCCUUUGUGGUGUACUGGUAGCACACUUGACACAUAUUUGAGAGGUGUAGGUUCAAGUCCUGACGAGGGCA
rnacentral:tRNA from 1 species